GAGAAAUCAGGACCACCCAGUGCGAGGAAUAACCGGAGCUCUCUGCAACGCUGAAAGAAACUGGCCAGCAACCUAGCUUAAAGGAUCCUCACAUCUGCGGCGAUGACUCUGUGCACAGACCAAGGAAGGAGAAGCCGCCGGAGCCAGUAAAGUACUCCCUUGGUGGUCAAAUUCCGGAGGGCUAAAUGUGUGUGUGCAUGAAUGAUCACAAAUAACCCUACCUGCGGUGUUGUUCAUGUGGAUGGUGACAAGACCUACUGCUGGACAGACACAGGUGCUGCCUUUGGACUUUCCAGUGCCUCAGCAUCAGCCUGGGGAUCACGUUCUCAUCAAAGAGGGGAAAGAAGGGAAACUCGAGCCAGCCCGGGAAGGACCCUACCUUGUGCUGCUAACCACUGAGACUGCUGUUCGUAAGGUUGGAAAGAGAUGGACACAUCACACAUGAGUCAAGCAAGCACCAUUAUCCUCAGAAUCAUGGGCCAUUGUUCCUGGAUCAAGCCC
rnacentral:lncRNA from 1 species